GUUUGUCGUACCUUCAGUUUGUGCCGCAGAAUCUGUGUUUCAUUGGCACUUUUGUGUGUGUUUGAUUUAGUAUCUUUACCCAGGUGCUUGCUAGAGGAGAAGAUUAAUGGUCCGACACGGCUUCAUGAUGUAUGAGCUGGAGGAGAGGGCAUUGGAUGAACCAAUCAGUUCGAAGUUGUAGAGUUUGGAGGUGGAUGUUACUAAAGGGAGGAAGUUGAUCACAAGUUUUCUUUCAGCAAUUGGUGAGUUACAGGGAUAUCAUGUGCAUAUGUAUGAGUCUGCUUUGCUUCGGUUGAAGAUAUAUGUGUGCCUGAAGAUACAAUCUUACAUGCAUUUUCUGUAUGAUAUGAUCACUAUUUCAUUCUCUGCGUGUACGUAGGUUGCAAGAAUGAGAAGGCUCCUCCAUGCUUAACAGGAAGAGACAGGGUCGCAGCCGCACCGCACGACGGCAGGCCAUGGCGAGCCGCACCACACCAGGUGGGCUAGAGCGAGCUCCAGCGCGAGCGAGCGCACCCGUCGCCCAUGCUGGCGGUGUCCCGGCCACGAGCAACAGGAACAUAGGGUCCCUGACCACGGCUGGAUCUCCUCCUUCUCCGUCCACAUGCGUGCAUCAGGAACUAGCAGCCGCACGGGUCUGAGCUCGGCCUCUCAAUUUUGUUUCACUUUUCAAGGAUGAGUAUCUUUACUUUGAAAAUGAACUGGUCAUAUUUCUAUUGGAAAUGAAGUGAUGUUGCUUCCCAGGUUCUGCGAUCUCUUGUGUUGCUGCAUCCUGAUCUUCUGCUUUGUUGCAUCUCUGUUCUGCCAUCGAGAGGACGUGUCUGUACUUGCUGGGGUAGAAUUCAAAUUGUGAGGGAUGGUUGUGCUUAGAUUUGGUCGCUGCUGGUCGGUUCUUGAGUUCAGCGCAUGAAAACCUGCAACUACUAUCAAACGAACCACAGG